rnacentral:piRNA from 1 species
UAAUUUUUUUUUAUUAAUUGG